rnacentral:rRNA from 1 species
UACGUAGGGUGCAAGCGUUAAUCGGAAUUACUGGGCGUAAAGGGCGCGUAGGCGGAUAGUUUAGUCAGAGGUGAAAGCCCAGGGCUCAACCUUGGAACUGCCUUUGAUACUGGCUAUCUUGAGUUCGGGAGAGGUGAGUGGAAUGCCGAGUGUAGAGGUGAAAUUCGUAGAUAUUCGGCGGAACACCAGUGGCGAAGGCGACUCACUGGCCCGAUACUGACGCUGAGGCGCGAAAGCGUGGGGAGCAAACAGG